rnacentral:tRNA from 1 species
GCCGGGGUGGCGCAGCCUGGGAGCGUUUCCGACUGAAGAUCGGAGGGUCCCGGGUUCAAAUCCCGGCCCCGGCACCA